GACGAACGCUGGCGGCGUGCCUAAUACAUGCAAGUAGAACGCACAGUUUAUACCGUAGCUUGCUACACCAUAAACUGUGAGUUGCGAACGGGUGAGUAACGCGUAGGUAACCUGCCUGGUAGCGGGGGAUAACUAUUGGAAACGAUAGCUAAUACCGCAUAAUAUUGAUUAUUGCAUGAUAAUUGAUUGAAAGAUGCUAUUGCAUCACUACCAGAUGGACCUGCGUUGUAUUAGCUAGUAGGUGAGGUAACGGCUCACCUAGGCGACGAUACAUAGCCGACCUGAGAGGGUGAUCGGCCACACUGGGACUGAGACACGGCCCAGACUCCUACGGGAGGCAGCAGUAGGGAAUCUUCAGCAAUGGACGAAAGUCUGACCGAGCAACGCCGCGUGAGUGAAGAAGGUUUUCGGAUCGUAAAGCUCUGUUGUAAGAGAAGAACGGGUGUGAGAGUGGAAAGUUCACACUGUGACGGUAUCUUACCAGAAAGGGACGGCUAACUACGUG
rnacentral:rRNA from 1 species